rnacentral:tRNA from 1 species
GAGGGUAUAGCUCAAGUGGCAGAGCACAUGCUUAGUAUGCAUGAGGUCCUGGGUUCAAUACCCAGGUACUUCCA